GGGUAUUUGGUACUUAACCCAAAAUAAUACAUAGAUCAUAAUUUCGAAACAAAUUAUCACAUAAUACAUCAUUAACAUAGAUCAGCCGGAAUUAAGAACAAAAACAACAAAGGUGUAAAAAUAAAACAAAUCAACAAUCAUGACGAGGAGACUGUUGAACAGCAAGAAAAACAACGGGAACACCUCUCUUCCUUUUUCUGAAAAUCGAACAGGAGCCUAAGUGGACUCCCUUCGCCGGCUCGUUUCUGCGCCGACCGGGCACUAGGCCGUGAGUCGUCAACACGUAGUCGUUCCUCUUCAUCUUCAGGCUACCACUAUCACGAAUCGAAAAAUCGAAAUACUCUCUCCAUCUCCCCAGCCAACAGCCGCAACAUCUUCGGCAACCAACGUCGAAUUCCCGAUGUAGCAACCGGCUGAUUUACGGCCUCUAUUUCUCUCUCUCCCUACUGUAACGGAGAGCCGAGAAACCACCAUCUUGUAGUCCAUUCUUCCAUGCACACAGACGGCUAAGCCGAGAGCCUCCAUGGCCGAACACCAUCGCGAAACGACGAUCAGAAAACCACUCAGCGAGCAACAUAACAAUAUGCAACGAACUUAUUGAUUUAGUUUAUUGAACUUCACUGUAGAAUAUAUAGAUAAUUUCUCAUUAAUGGCCAAAAUAUAGAAAGUAGCAUAAGAAACCAUAGUAGCAAUCUUUCAAACGAAACUAAUUAUAUAACUAAAACCAAAGAACUAAACUUAUAAAUUGACCAAAAAAAACCCAGAAAAAAAUAUUUGAUUUUUAUAGAUGAAAAAUCUCACACCCACCUGUUAUUUCAUCAAGAAAAUUACCUUCUCCAGGAUCCCCCACCCCCAGCUUUGUUUCCUCGAACCUGUUCGGAAAUUAAAAAAGAGAAACUCAGCAAUCACACAUGAAAAGAAACCCAACAAAUCUGAAAAACAUUACCUUCUUCAAGCCGUCGCUGCAAUAUUUCUCUUUCAAACUAGCUCAGAUUGCCGUAUAACCAGAGAGGAGGAUGAAAAUGAAAUGGAACCUUCAACUCUUCUGCUAUCCAUGGCGAAUUUCGUCGAACCAGAGAGGAGGAUGAAAAUGAAAACGACUGGUAAAAUGAUAUACUGAUUAGAGAAAUGCCACAAAUUUGUUGAAAUUGAAAUCAUAUCGUCAUCUACAAGGGAAUAGAGAAAAUAGGGGGAUUUGAUUACAUUUCCUUAAUAUGAUGAAAUAAGAUUGACAAGAUUGAAGAUUGACGUAUAUAAUCCUGACAAAUUUCAAAUUAAUUUACAGGCAUAUUAUUAUUAUUUAAUUUAAUGAAAUGAUCUUGUGAUUGAAAUCUAAACAGUUGGAUUCUGUGAAAUUAAUGGAAUUACUUCUUACUUCUUAAUCUUAGAGACCUUUUAUGUAAAAUUGAACCGUAUAUAUAUACGCGCAGGGAUGUAUAUAUAUAUAUAUACGCGCAGGGAUGUG
rnacentral:lncRNA from 1 species